rnacentral:misc_RNA from 1 species
GAAAUUGUUGGGAGCCUAAAUAAAUGCCUCUGUAAUCAAUAAAAUGCAGACUUUUAGUCUCUAUACCAUUCCUUCAAAAAAGCAACACACAACCGGUCAGAAUUUUGCAAUUGGAAGCCAAACCGAUGUAAAUUUUGAAGAUGUUGGUGAAGAAUUUACUGGUCACAAGCUGGUUCCUGCGGUACGCUCACCAAGUGUCCGAAGCACAGCUUUCAGGUCCAACGAAGUAUCAAAAUGCUCAAUCCGCGGAUUCAUGGUCUUCUUCAAGU